UGAAUCGCACAGUGCGGGAACGAAGCUGAAGGAGCCUGUUGGAGUAUGAACUCCGCUGGAGUAUGAACUCCGCUGUCCCUCAAUUGUCUGGUGGAGUGGGGGAGCAGGAUUGCAGUGUUUCUGACAGGUCAGGCAUCUAUUUGUGGUGGUGUGGUCGGCCGCCGGGGGAGGUGGCAGCGGCGGCGAUGACCAAGAAGAACACCGGAGUUGGAAUAUAAUUACAUAUUUAUAUGCCGGCCUGAAUCGGGCGGUGGAGGCAUGUGGAGAGGGGCGUGUCCUACGCGCCCCGUGCGGGCGGAGCAUGUGCGGCAGCCGGUCGUGAAGCAGCAAUCAGCGUUGGAAACCAUGAGCGGGGCUGGCAAACUGGGAGUGAGAGCCAGACGGAAGAGCCCGCUGUUCAGCGUGAAGAGACAGAAGCUGAGAAGCUGAAAAGGAACUCUGAACGAUAAACUGUUGUAAAAAUAAUAAAAGAGUGUAACCCACU